AAUGUACGCUGGCGGCACGCCUAACACAUGCAAGUCGAGCGAGGUACUUGUACCUAGCGGCAGACGGGUGCGUAACAUGUGGGAAUCUACCUUUUGGUUCGGAACAACAUGGGGAAACCCGUGCUAAUACCGGAUAAGUCCUUACGGAGAAAGAUUUAUCGCCGAAAGAUGAGCCCGCACUAGAUUAGCUUGUUGGUAAGGUAAAAGCUUACCAAGGCAACGAUCUAUAGCUGAUUUGAGAGGAUGAUCAGCCACACUGGGACUGAGACACGGCCCAGACUCCUACGGGAGGCAGCAGUGGGGAAUCUUGCACAAUGGAGGAAACUCUGAUGCAGCGAUGCCGCGUGAGUGAAGAAGGCCUUUGGGUUGUAAAGCUCUUUUGUCGGGAAAGAUAAUGACUGUACCCGAAGAAUAAGGUCCGGCUAACUUCGUGCCAGCAGCCGCGGUAAUACGAAGGGACCUAGCGUAAUUCGGAAUUACUGGGCGUAAAGCGCGCGUAGGCGGUUAAGUAAGUUAAUUGUGAAAGCCCAAAGCUCAACUUUGGAAUUGCAAUUAAAACUACUUAGCUAGAGUUUAUCAGAGGAAAGCGGAAUACAUAGUGUAGAGGUGAAAUUCGUAGAUAUUAUGUAGAACACCAGUUGCGAAGGCGGCUUUCUGGGAUAAUACUGACGCUGAGGUGCGAAAGUAUGGGUAGCGAAGAGGAUUAGAUACCCUCGUAGUCCAUACCGUAAACGAUGAUUGUUAGAUGUUGGAAAUUUAUUUUCAGUAUCACAGCUAACGCGUUAAACAAUCCGCCUGGGGGAGUACGACCGCAAGGUUAAAACUCAAAUGAAUUGACGGGGACCCGCACAAGCGGUGGAGCAUGUGGUUUAAUUCGAAGCUACGCGCAGAACCUUACCAACACUCGACAUGUCUGUCGCGGAAUCCAGAGAUGGAUUCUUUCGGUUCGGCCGGACAGAACACAGGUGCUGCAUGGCUGUCGUCAGCUC
rnacentral:rRNA from 1 species